rnacentral:rRNA from 1 species
GAUUAACGCUAGCGGCAGGCCUAAUACAUGCAAGUCGAGGGGCAGCAGGGUGUAGCAAUACAUCGCUGGCGACCGGCGCACGGGUGCGUAACACGUAUGCAACCUACCUUUAACUGGGGAAUAGCCCUCCGAAAGGAGGAUUAACACCGCAUAACAUCACGAGACGGCAUCGCCUUGUGAUCAAACCUCCGGGGGUUAAANAUGGGCAUGCGUCCGAUUAGCUAGUUGGCGGGUAACGGCCCACCAAGGCGACGAUCGGUAGGGGGUCUGAGAGGAUGAUCCCCCANACUGGUACUGAGACACGGACCAGACUCCUACGGGAGGCAGCAGUAAGGAAUAUUGGACAAUGGUCGCAAGACUGAUCCAGCCAUGCCGCGUGCAGGAUGAACGAUCUAUGAUCUGUAAACUGCUUUUGUUCGGGAAUAAACCCCUUNACGUGUGGAGGGCUGAAUGUACCGAAAGAAUAAGGGUCGGNUAACUUCGUGCCAGCAGCCGUA